GUUACCUCUCUAGCCUGACCCUAAUUUAAACCCAAUUAUCGAAUAAACAUCCCCCUCCCCAAACUCAAAACAUUUUUAAUCUUUAGUAUAUGCGAUAGAAAAAGAACGCAGAGCCAUAAUAAAAGUACCGUAAGGGAAAGAUGAAAUAAAACUGAAAAAUACUCAAACGCUAUAAAGCAAAGAUCACCCCUUGUACCUUUUGCAUCAUGACCUAACAAGUCUAACCAGGCAAAAAGAUUUUUAGUCUGACCCCCCGAAAUUAAGUGAGCUACUCCGAGGCAACUCUAGAGUUAACCCUUCUCUGUGGCAAAAGAGUGGGAAGACCUCCGAGUAGAGGCGAUAAACCUACCGAACUUAAUGAUAGCUGGUUGCUCAGGAAAAGGAUAUUAGUUCUGUCUUAAGAGUCUAUAGCACAACUAAGCAAACUUUACUCUUAAGUAUUAUUCAAUAAGGGUACAGCCUUAUUGAAAAAGGAUUCAACCUAAACUUCUGGUUAAUGGUUAAACCCAAGGAGGUAAAAGGCUAAGUGGGCCUAAAAGCAGCCACCUUCUUAAAAGCGUCAAAGCUUUGCCUUAAUAUCACCCUUUAUUAUAUUACCACCCCAAAACCCGGCACUUCUACUGAGCUUUUCUAUAUUGUUAUAGAAGUAUUUAUGUUAGGACUAGUAACACAGAAUUGUUUCUCUUACAUGCAAGCACAAAUCAGAUCGAAUACUUCACUGAUAUCUACUCAUUUUUGAGCUAAAAGUAAUAACCCUCCUCCCCCCCGAAAACCUUACUCCCUCAACUGUUAACCUUACACAAGCGCAUGAAAGAAAGAUUAAAAGACUAGGAAGGAACUCGGCAAAUUUAAGCCCCGCCUGUUUACCAAAAACAUCGCCUUUUGAACCCUAUAAAAGGUAACGCCUGCCCAGUGACUUUAUGUUUAACGGCCGCGGUACUCUGACCGUGCAAAGGUAGCGUAAUCACUUGUCUUUUAAAUAAGGACUAGUAUGAAUGGCAUCACGAGGACUUAGCUGUCUCCCUAAUCUAAUCAGUGAAACUGAUCUCCCUGUGAAAAAGCAGGGAUUUACACAUAAGACGAGAAGACCCUAUGGAGCUUUAAACCAAAAACUACCUGUUUAAUCUACUAUACUAAAGAUAGUACUAAAACAACUGAUCUAGUUUAGGUUUUCAGUUGGGGUGACUGUGGAGAAAAAUAAAUCCUCCAUGCAGAAUUAAGCUUUGAACAACCGCUCUACGCAUUAGCAAGUCUAACUGCACUUGAUCCAAUCUUUUUGAUCAACGGACCAAGUUACCCUAGGGAUAACAGCGCAAUCCAUUUUAAGAGUCCAUAUCGACAAAUGGGUUUACGACCUCGAUGUUGGAUUAGGACACCCGAGUGGUGCAGCCGCUACUCAAGGUUCGUUUGUUCAACGAUUAAAGUCCUACGUGAUCUGAGUUCAGACCGGAGUAAUCCAGGUCAGUUUCUAUCUAUGAUAGCACCUUUUCUAGUACGAAAGGACCGAAAAAGUAGAGCCUCUAAUUUCCUAUGCUCUAGCUUAUUAUUAUUGAAUUUAUCUUAAAUAAAAUCAAGCCUAUUUUUUUACCUAAAAUAAAGGCGC
rnacentral:rRNA from 1 species